rnacentral:rRNA from 1 species
GAUGAACGCUAGCGGCAGGCUUAAUACAUGCAAGUCGAGGGGCAGCAGGUUUGUAGCAAUACAGAUGCUGGCGACCGGCAAACGGGUGCGGAACACGUACAGAACCUUCCUUUAAGCGGGGAAUAGCCCAGAGAAAUUUGGAUUAAUACCCCAUAGUAUUGUUGAGCGGCAUCACUUGAUGAUUAAAGAUUUAUCACUUAAAGAUGGCUGUGCGGCUGAUUAGGUAGUUGGCGGGGUAACGGCCCACCAAGCCUUCGAUCAGUAACUGGUGUGAGAGCACGACCAGUCACACGGGCACUGAGACACGGGCCCGACUCCUACGGGAGGCAGCAGUAAGGAAUAUUGGGCAAUGGACGGAAGUCUGACCCAGCCAUGCCGCGUGGAGGAUGAAGGUCCUCUGGAUUGUAAACUUCUUUUAUUUGGGAAGAAACCCGAUUUUUCUAAGUCGGUUGACGGUACCAGAUGAAUAAGCACCGGCUAACUCCGUGCCAGCCGCCGCCGUAAGAC